CGGAGACCAGUGGCCCCUCCCGGCCUGCCCGCCUUCGCCUCCAGCGGCGCCCAGAGCACACGCCGGGCCUGGGCCAGUGGACUCCGGUAAAAUGGCCGGAAUCUUUCAGGAAGUGAGAAGAGAACAUUCAGUGUGAAGCGGGCAGAGGAGAGACUGGUCACUAAGUGCAGAGGAGGCUGGGCUAAACCAGAAAGAAUGCAGCCAUGUACAGUGGAUUCUCCUUAUUUGCCAUGUCUUGUAGAUGGACUUGGGAAGCAUGCUCAAGGCUGUGUUGGAGGCUGGUGGACAAGAGCCCUUGGAGACAAAUCCUAGAGAAGUUAGAGCUGACUGCAGAAGGCACAGAGGAGCCACUGGGGUACUGGAGAUGAUGACUCAGACAUUUCUUUUUGGAAGCCAUUAAUCAACCCACUCCAGCCACCAAUACUAAAGUUUACUCUACAUUCUGUGUCCCACCUGAAAUGAUGCCCAACGAAGUUAUCCAACAUAGCUUAUCCGAGGUUCUACGACUGAGACCAAAGGACAAUAAGGUCUGGAGGUUGGCUAGAGUCACUCACUUCUGGCCCACGCAUCUCCCUGCAGUCAGCUGCUGCUGCUGCUAAGUCACUUCAGUCGUGUCCGACUCUGUGCGACCCCACAGACGGCAGCCCACCAGGAUCCCCCAUCCCUGGGAUUCUCCAGGCAAGAACACUGGAGUGGGUUGCCAUUUCCUUCUCCAAUGCAUGAAAGUGAAAAGUGAAAGUGAAGUCGCUCAGUCAUGUCCGACUCUUCGCGACCCUAUGGACUAUAGCCUACCAGGCUCCUCCAUCCAUGGGAUUUUCCA